AACGAACGCUGGCGGCGGGCCUAAUACAUGCAAGUCGAACGAGAAAGCUCUUCGGAGUGAGUAUAGUGGCGCACGGGUGAGUAACACGUAGGUAACCUACCUUCUAGUGGGGGAUAACUCGGGGAAACCCGGGCUAAUACCGCAUAAGCAGGUAACUGGAAAGGGGGCGCAAGCUCCUGCUAGAAGAUGGGCCUGCGGGGCAUUAGCUUGAUGGUGGGGUAAAGGCCUACCAUGGCGAUGAUGUCUAGCCGGUCUGAGAGGAUGACCGGCCACACUGGAACUGAGACACGGUCCAG
rnacentral:rRNA from 1 species